UUUGACCCUUCACCAUCUCAAGUAACAGCAUGCUUCUGAGAAAACAUACCUUCCUGUCAAAAUGGAAAUGAGGUACAAAUGACACAACAACAAAAAAAAAAGAUGAGGAAGGAUAACCUGAAUCAUUCCCCGACCAGGAAUCGAACCCGUGGCCCCUGCAGUGGAAGCACGGAAUCCUAACGACUGGACCGCCAGGGAAUUCCCAACAAAUUAUUUUAUUCAUCACAAUAGGAUCUACAUUUCAAAAAAACAGGAGCACGUAUAGAACUGAAAUAUUUAUUCAGCCUAUAGACAAUGCUUGGUAUGCAUAUGGAUAGCCGAUCCAAAAAUUCCAUAGCCAAUUCAGGUAUGUUCUGCCAACAGACUGAGAACCAAACUUUGGUGUAUCACAGAAUCACCUGUAAAGCCUGUUAAAACUCCAUACGCCUGGCCCCAGGCACUAACCACGUCUUGACUGUAGUUCAGUAUGUGUCCAACAGAUGUCUUCACGCUUCUAUCCAUCAAAGGAAAGGCACUCCAGUAAACAAUACAAAAUCUAACAGUAAGUCACGUAACAAUGUAAUUUCAGUACAAACAGAAAAUACAAUGCUUAAUUUAAUUUUUGUUUUUCUUCUUUGGCUUUUAUUUGGGGGAAUUAUUUACCUGCUAUCUACAGAGUCAUGUUCAUAAACAAAAUGGAAAACUAAUCACAAAUGUUCCUGGAUAUGAGUGCCAUUUUUUUUUUAUUUUUAUGAGUGCCAUUUUAAUGUUACUGUAUUUCAUCAAAUCUAAGAUGCCACUGAUUGUAAGGUAAACCACUGUUUAAUGUGCUGGAAAGAAAAGAAGGAAAUGCCUCCAAAUAAACCAUGACCCAAGCUUCUAUCAUUCAGAAUUUUUAUUUUAUACUGAUUGCAAGACCCUUUUUUACUUAUUUAACCAUAAAGUUUAAUCAUAUAUCAUUUUGAACUGUUUUAUAACUUUCUCCAUACCAAUAACUGUUUCAAUGCUGGUUCACAGCAUAAUAUUACUGAAGACAUACUGAACAACAGCUAAAGUUAACAUGAGAAAUAGCAACAAUACUCACAACAUUGACUAAAAUGAGCAGCUGUUAACUGUUUGUGAGUACACAGGCAAACAAAUCAAGCAGGACUGUGGCCUUGGUGACAGAGAUUUUAAGAUGCCAUCAAGGAUAAGACUUAUUAACUCAAUUUCAUACUGUUGAGAUGGGAAAAACUAUGAGUCUUGGAAUUGAUGAAAGCCCGCUUUUUUAAAAGAUGGACAAUAAUCCAAUAAUAAUAAAAUCUAUGGAUAUCCCAGUGUUGCCAGCUCUCAAUUCUUUCUGCCUUUCUUGACACACUAGUGAUAUAAUGCACAAUAGCCAUUUCAAGUCACCACUCACCCAACCUAGAGUUGUUAAGUUCUUUAUUAGACUUCCUUGUUCACUCGUAAUUCUCCCUCCCCCAUUUAUUCUCAACACAGCCAGAGUAGAUUUUAAAAGCUAAACUAGAUCACUCCCUUGAUUAAACACUGGUGCAGUUUUCUCUUGCACUUUGAAUAAAAUUGUUGCAUUACCUGCAGGGAUCCUGAAGGCAAGUGCUUUGUCUCCUAGAGGGCAUGGAUUUUUGUUUUGUUCACUGCUACUAUAUUUCCUUGUGCUCUGCACAUGGGUUAGUGCCCAAUAAAUAUCUGAUGAAUGCAAUCAAUGACUCUGGCCCUGGCUACCUCUUCAACCUCUCAUCUCAUGCCUGUUUUCCCCUUAGACAAUAUGCUUUUGUCCUCUAGUCUCCUUGCUGUCUCCUGAAAACUUCUCAUCCGGCCUUUGAAACUGUUAACCUUCUUCAUGAAAUGAUUUUACCCAAAUGCUCAGCAAGACUGUUUCAACUUUCUUCAGAUCUCCCUUAAAGGGCACCUCCUCAAAGAUGCUUACCCUGUUUAUCCCCUCUCCCAACAUAAUUAGACUCAACUAAUUUAUUUCCUCUCAUAAUUAUGUUUAUUGUCUCUCACCAGAUUUUUAAGUUCUAGGAGGGCACAGACCAUGUGUUCUGACAUGGAAAAUGUAUACCCAGCGUGUAUCCCAGGGUCACAUACAUUCUAGAAGCUCAAUGGAUGUUUGUUGAGUAAUGAGCAAAGAAAGGCUGUGCCGAGUGCCUCUAGCACCUUGUCACUCUGGAAACGAAACAGUCAAGCCACAUGUUACAAAGCUUUACUCCAAAUUACCAUUUUAGCUUCUGUUACCUGUAUUUUCUAACAUACACAAAUUUAAUUGUUUAAGCCUCUUGCUAUAGCAAUAAAAGAUUCUUUCCUGUCUCAAGAUUGUAUUAAAACCUUUUUCUUACAUUCUC